UAAGAGUACGGAUAAACAACGAAUGUAUUACAAGGCCUACUCGAUUAAUCUAGAGUAGUCCUAAAGUGCUGCAAUCUCAGGUUCUGGAGAAAAUAAUUCCAUCUAUGACAAAUUUGGGGGUGUAUAUAGACAGGGAGGAUACUAGAAGCCUUAUCCGAUUAUUUAUAGUAGUCCCAGGUUGCUGCAGUUUCUAAUUAAUGAGAAAAUAAUUCCUAAGGUUGCAAUUAAAAAUUACGUAUUUUUCUAAAUUUAUCAUUUUGCAUCUUCGACAAAUUUUUAAGAGUACGGAUAAACAACGAAUGUAUUACAAGGCCUACUCGAUUAAUCUAGAGUAGUCCUAAAGUGCUGCAAUCUCAGGUUCUGGAGAAAAUAAUUCGUAAGUUUAUAAUUAAAAAAUAUCAAUUUUUGAAAAUUCAUCCUUUUGCAUCUAUGACAAAUUUGGGAGUGUGCAUAGACAGGGAGGAUACUAGAAGCCUUAUCCGAAUUAUUUAUAGUAGUGCCAGGAUGCUACAGUUUCUAGUUUAUGAGAAAAUAAUUCCUAAGGUUAUAAUUAAAAAUUUCGUAUUUUUCUAAAUUUAUCAUUUUGCAUCUUCGACAAAUUUUUAAGAGUGCGGAUAGACAAGGAAUGUAUUACAAGGCCCACUCGAUUAAUCUAGAGUAAUCCUAAAGUGCUGCAAUCUCAGGUUCUGGAGAAAAUAAUUCGUAAGUUUAUAAUUAAAAAAUAUCAAUUUUUGAAAAUUCUUCCUUCAACAUCUAUGACAAAUUUGGGAGUGCGGAUAGACAGGAAGGAUACUAGCACCCUUAUCCGAAUUAUUUAUAGCAGUCCCAGGAUGCUACAGUUACUAAUUUAUGAGAAAAUAAUUCCUAAGGCUACAAUUAAAAAUUUCGUAUUUUUCUAAAUUUAUCAUUUUGCAUCUUCGACAAAUUUUUAAGAGUGCGGAUAAACAACGAAUGUAUUACAAGGCCUACUCGAUUAAUCUAGAGUAGUCCUAAAGUGCUGCAAUCUCAGGUUCUGGAGAAAAUAAUUCCAUCUAUGACAAAUUUGGGGGUGCGGAUAGACAAGGAGGAUAUUAGAAGCCUUAUCCGAAUUAUUUAUAGUAGUCCUAGGAUGCUACAGUUUCUAGUUCAUGAGAAAAUAAUUCCUAAGGUUGCAAUUAAAAAUUACGUAUUUUUCUAAAUUUAUCAUUUUGCAUCUUCGACAAAUUUUUAAGAGUGCGGAUAGACAAGGAAUGUAUUACAAGGCCUACUCGAUUUAUCUAGAGUAGUCCUAAAGUGCUGCAAUCUCAGGUUCUGGAGAAAAUAAUUCGUAAGUUUAUAAUUAAAAAAUAUCAAUUUUUGAAAAUUCAUCCUUUUGCAUCUAUCACAAAUUUGGGAGUGCGGAUAGACAGGGAGGUUACUAGAAGCUUUAUCCGAAUGAUUUAUAGUAGUCCCAGGAUGCUACAGUUUCUAAUUCAUGAGAAAAUAAUUCCUAAGGUUAUAAUUAAAAAUUUCGUAUUUUUCCAAAUUUAUCAUUUUGCAUCUUCGACAAAUUUUUAAGAGUGCGGAUAGACAAGGAAUGUAUUACAAGGCCCACUCGAUUAAUCUAGAGUAGUCCUAAAGUGCUGCAAUCUCAGGUUCUGGAAAAAAUAAUUCCAUCUAUGACAAAUUUGGGGGUGCGGAUAGACAGGAAGGAUACUAGAAGCCUUAUCUGAAUUAUUUAUAGUAGU
rnacentral:lncRNA from 1 species